rnacentral:rRNA from 1 species
CCUACGGGUGACAGCAGUGAGGAAUAUUGGUCAAUGGUCGGGAGACUGAACCAGCCAAGCCGCGUGAGGGAUGAAGGUACAGAGUAUCGUAAACCUCUUUUGUCAGGGAAUAAAGGCGGGGACGCGUCCCCGGAUGAGUGUACCUGAAGAAAAAGCAUCGGCUAACUCCGUGCCAGCAGCCGCGGUAAUACGGAGGAUCUGAGCGUUAUCCGGAUUUAUUGGGUUUAAAGGGUGCGCAGGCGGGUCGUUAAGUCAGGGGUCCAAGUCCGGGGCCCCAACCCGGCCCUGCCGUUGAAACUGGCAGUCUCGAGUUGGAGAGAAGUAUGCGGAAUGCGCGGUGUAGCGGUGAAAUGCAUAGAUAUCGCGCAGAACUCCGAUUGCGAAGGCAGCAUGCCGGCUCCACACUGACGCUGAGGCACGAAAGCGUGGGUAUCGAACAGGAUUAGAUACCCCAGUAGUC